UGUCCGGUGCUAGCACGUAAGUCCUGAGUGAGCGGCGAGGACGCUCUGCACGUCUGCUGUCACACGGCGCUUGGCCUCCUUCCCUUCUCGGCGUCACAUGAGCCUCUCGGACAGGCCAGGGCGAGCCUUCCUUUACUCACUGGCGGGCACAGCUUGGUUGGCGUACGUCGGAUGUGCAAACAAAUGUAAACGAUCUGUGAGCAAAAGGUUACAUUUCACAAAACUGUUGCCCAGAGAUCCGGCAGGCCCAUCACCACCUCCACCUCCAGCCUCUGAGAAGACAGAGUUGGAUGGGUCACCUCGGAUGAGAAUCUACAUCUUUUAGAAAAAGGGAAGAGGAAGCCCGAUUUUAUAAAAUGCUGUGAAACUCUGGACCAUCUGCUGUCCUUGAUGAAUGUGCUUACCAAGUCUCAGGGAAAGGCAAGUGGAAAGGGCAUGAAAGGCAGCGUUACCGGUUCCUUUGUUCUCCGUCCUCUCCCUCCACUGGCAGAGCUUCUACAAAGCAGCACGUGAACACUUGAAGGGUGGCCAGCACUUCUGGGGCUCCGUCGGUUUCCAGGAGCGCGUACCUGAGCGGGCAGUGGGGGGCACAAGGCACUGAAUGAUGAUCUGCUAACACGUGAGCCUGAACUGUGCAGGGGGCGUGGAGACACUUCUGCCGGGCGGCAGUGCCUGUGGCAGCAGGGAGAUCUCUCCCCCUUUUCUAAAGACUCUACAACGGGAGCGCAGCGCUCUCCGCCUGCACUGACAUCGUUAACCUGCACAUCCUUUGCACACAGGCCUGGGGGCGCUUUGCAAGCAUGCGCACACUGAAUGCCCAGACACGCAGCAGCAGCUGACCUUUUGCUUUUUCAAGAGGGAAAUGGCUCCAUCAAAUCCACCCACCAAAGUGGCGGAAGACUGCGUGGAGCUGGUUUCUUUCCAUACAACCGACUUUUCUUACGUGUAAACAGAAAAGCAGCUCAACUUUAUUUUGAGCUGAGAAAAGUGCUACGAGUAUUUAUUUAAACUCUGCUGGCUUUAAACUAAGAACAGCGUCCAGGGUGGAGGGAGGACGGAGCGGGCUGGAAGAGGUUAAUGGGGGAAAGGAGAACCUAUGUAAUCCUUUCAACAAUAAAGACUAAAAGAAAAUAAAAACAAU